rnacentral:tRNA from 1 species
GGGGCGUCGCUCAAUCGGUAGAACAACGGCCUUUGAAGCCGUGUGUUGCGCGUUCGAGUCGCGCGCCCCU